GAUGAACGCUGGCGGCGUGCCUAAUACAUGCAAGUCGAGCGAACGGACGAGAAGCUUGCUUCUCUGAUGUUAGCGGCGGACGGGUGAGUAACACGUGGAUAACCUACCUAUAAGACUGGGAUAACUUCGGGAAACCGGAGCUAAUACCGGAUAAUAUUUUGAACCGCAUGGUUCAAAAGUGAAAGACGGUCUUGCUGUCACUUAUAGAUGGAUCCGCGCUGCAUUAGCUAGUUGGUAAGGUAACGGCUUACCAAGGCAACGAUGCAUAGCCGACCUGAGAGGGUGAUCGGCCACACUGGAACUGAGACACGGUCCAGACUCCUACGGGAGGCAGCAGUAGGGAAUCUUCCGCAAUGGGCGAAAGCCUGACGGAGCAACGCCGCGUGAGUGAUGAAGGUCUUCGGAUCGUAAAACUCUGUUAUUAGGGAAGAACAUAUGUGUAAGUAACUGUGCACAUCUUGACGGUACCUAAUCAGAAAGCCACGGCUAACUACGUGCCAGCAGCCGCGGUAAUACGUAGGUGGCAAGCGUUAUCCGGAAUUAUUGGGCGUAAAGCGCGCGUAGGCGGUUUUUUAAGUCUGAUGUGAAAGCCCACGGCUCAACCGUGGAGGGUCAUUGGAAACUGGAAAACUUGAGUGCAGAAGAGGAAAGUGGAAUUCCAUGUGUAGCGGUGAAAUGCGCAGAGAUAUGGAGGAACACCAGUGGCGAAGGCGACUUUCUGGUCUGUAACUGACGCUGAUGUGCGAAAGCGUGGGGAUCAAACAGGAUUAGAUACCCUGGUAGUCCACGCCGUAAACGAUGAGUGCUAAGUGUUAGGGGGUUUCCGCCCCUUAGUGCUGCAGCUAACGCAUUAAGCACUCCGCCUGGGGAGUACGACCGCAAGGUUGAAACUCAAAGGAAUUGACGGGGACCCGCACAAGCGGUGGAGCAUGUGGUUUAAUUCGAAGCAACGCGAAGAACCUUACCAAAUCUUGACAUCCUUUGACAACUCUAGAGAUAGAGCUUUCCCCUUCGGGGGACAAAGUGACAGGUGGUGCAUGGUUGUCGUCAGCUCGUGUCGUGAGAUGUUGGGUUAAGUCCCGCAACGAGCGCAACCCUUAAGCUUAGUUGCCAUCAUUAAGUUGGGCACUCUAAGUUGACUGCCGGUGACAAACCGGAGGAAGGUGGGGAUGACGUCAAAUCAUCAUGCCCCUUAUGAUUUGGGCCACACACGUGCUACAAUGGACAAUACAAAGGGCAGCGAAACCGCGAGGUCAAGCAAAUCCCAUAAAGUUGUUCUCAGUUCGGAUUGUAGUCUGCAACUCGACUACAUGAAGCUGGAAUCGCUAGUAAUCGUAGAUCAGCAUGCUACGGUGAAUACGUUCCCGGGUCU
rnacentral:rRNA from 1 species